rnacentral:rRNA from 1 species
GAUGAACGCUGGCGGCGUGCCUAAUACAUGCAAGUCGAACGAAACUUCUUUAUCACCGAGUGCUUGCACUCACCGAUAAAGAGUUGAGUGGCGAACGGGUGAGUAACACGUGGGCAACCUGCCCAAAAGAGGGGGAUAACACUUGGAAACAGGUGCUAAUACCGCAUAACCAUAGUUACCGCAUGGUAACUAUGUAAAAGGUUGCUAUACUACCGCUUUUGGAUGGGCCCGCGGCGCAUUAGCUAGUUGGUAGGGUAAAGGCUUACCAAGGCAAUGAUGCGUAGCCGAAUUGAGAGGUUGAUCGGCCACAUUGGGACUGAGACACGGCCCAAACUCCUACGGGAGGCAGCAGUAGGGAAUCUUCCACAAUGGGCGAAAGCCUGAUGGAGCAACGCCGCGUGGGUGAAGAAGGUCUUCGGAUCGUAAAACCCUGUUGUUAGAGAAGAAAGUGCGUGAGAGUAACUGUUCACGUUUCGACGGUAUCUAACCAGAAAGCCACUGCUAACUACGUG